GCCCUAUGGAGCACGGAGUAAAUCGUAUUGUUGUUGAAGAUGUCCAGAGCCUUUCUCAGUUUAAUCUUCCUGUGUCACUUCCUAAUGCGCACAUGCUUGGACCAGUUACUGGACAAGGAUCUUUACCUGUAAUAGGCCCUUCUGGCUCAUUGGCCAGUGGCAAAGCUUUACAUAACAAAAGCAAAUUUCCAGUGAUUGAUGAUGCAUUGGGCUUGACUGAUGCUUUUGUUGAUGGUUCUAUGGCCGGGGGAGCUGAUUUCUAUGAUCCUGAUCAGCCUUUAUGGUCAAAUGAUCAUCCCGCAACUUCAACAGCACUGUUGGAUGUCAAUCAGUCUAAAAUUGAUGACACAGGGCCUUUGCUGAAUGCUGACUCCUCUGUUCAGAAUCAGGCUGGGCUUUAUGAUGGCUGUAAACUCGAGCCUAUAGAUAGAGGUGCCGGA
rnacentral:misc_RNA from 1 species